rnacentral:rRNA from 1 species
GAUGAACGCUGGCGGCGUGCCUAAUACAUGCAAGUCGAGCGAACAGACGAGGAGCUUGCUCCUCUGACGUUAGCGGCGGAAGGGUGAGUAACACGUGGAUAACCUACCUAUAAGACUGGGAUAACUUCGGGAAACCGGAGCUAAUACCGGAUAAUAUAUUGAACCGCAUGGUUCAAUAGUGAAAGACGGUUUUGCUGUCACUUAUAGAUGGAUCCGCGCCGCAUUAGCUAGUUGGUAAGGUAACGGCUUACCAAGGCAACGAUGCGUAGCCGACCUGAGAGGGUUAUCGGCCACACUGGAACUGAGACACGGUCCAGACUCCUACGGGAGGCAGCAGUAGGGAAUCUUCCGCAAUGGGCGAAAGCUUGACGGAGCAACGCCGCGUGAGUGAUGAAGGUCUUCGGAUCGUAAAACUCUGUUAUUAGGGAAGAACAAAUGUGUAAGUAACUAUGCACGUCUUGACGGUACCUAAUCAGAAAGCCACGGCUAACUACGUG